UGCAGAGGGUGCGAGCGUUAAUCGGAAUCACUGGGCGUAAAGCGCACGUAGGCGGAUGUGUCAGUCAGGGGUGAAAUCCCGGGGCUCAACCUCGGAACUGCCUUUGAUACAGCACGUCUCGAGUCCGGAAGAGGUGGGUGGAAUUCCUAGUGUAGAGGUGAAAUUCGUAGAUAUUAGGAAGAACACCGGUGGCGAAGGCGGCCCACUGGUCCGGUACUGACGCUGAGGUGCGAAAGCGUGGGGAGCAAACAGG
rnacentral:rRNA from 1 species